UGAGCAGGACAGUUGACUCCAAAACUAAUCGGGAAAACUUCCGCGGAAAAACCAGUUGCAGGUGCGAAAAGUGCGAAUAAACAUCGAGCUCCGGCAGUGAAAAGUGUUUGUGUUGUGGGGGCAAGGUUUGGAAAAGCCCCAAAGCCGAAGCCGGGCCGUUUUUGUGUAUUUUCUUUGCAUUUUUUUCUUGUGCCAAGAUCAGUGCGUUUUUUUUGCUAGUGAAAGGUCUGGAAAAGUCGCUAAACCGAAGCCAGGCCGUUGUUGUGUAUUUUCUUUGCAUAUUUAAUAUAGUGCCAAGAUCAGUGCGUUUAUUUGCUAAUGAAUAGUGUUUUUCUUCACAUGUGCAAGUGCAAAAAAGAAAGAAUAUGCAUUCAAGCGUAGAAGGUACCGCAAGUUUGCAUUCUCCCUUCGCUUCUGACAACCGUUUCGCUACACUUGAAAAAAAAGGUGUCGCUGUCGUGAUUAUGAAAAUUAAAUAAAAGGGGAGAUAUGGAAAAAGCGGUUGAAAUGUAUAAAAGUGCACCCUUCAAUAAAUUAAAAAGUUAAUAUAUUUAAUUGAAUUAUUUUUUAAUUUGUAUGUUGUUUUAUCAACUAAUUCUAAUUCGCCGUUGGAACUUUCAGCAAAAGUGUAAAUGGAGGCUGUUCUGAAUAUCUUGGUCUAGAAGAAGAUGGCUAUCCUCAUUUGUGGUCUACUCCGCGCACAACUCUAAAACAGAACGCGAACCGAAUGCGGUGACUGAGGCAACACCAAUGGGCCAACCGACCAACAAAAUAAGCCAGAAAAAAAAGCACCAACAGAAGCCGAAAGCCAAAAGCCGAGCCACUCACUACAGAGCAAAACGAGCGAAGGAACGGAGGCCAAAGAGAUGCUAACUUGGCUUGUAUUUUGAAUUAAAUAUUUUAAAAUAUUGUAAUAAACUGAAAGAAAGCCUAGCUGUUUUUGAAUUUGUCAACACUGGUGAUGGAGAGAUGGAACGGAAAACGAAAUGAAGAGCGGCGAAGGCGAACGACACGCGACACGACAUUCGACGAAGUGCAUCGAAAGCGAAAAACGAAGAGCGUCAAAAUGCUUAGCGAUGCUGAGUGAGAGCGGAAAGUGCGGGAAAUGGAACGGCAACAGGCGGAACAGAACGGAACGGAAAGGAAACAAAAUGGAACAAAGCACACGCACACAUCCGCAUUGCAAAGCGCAACAAUUUGGCAAUGGAGCAGCAUCGAAUGGCAGUGUGUAAAAAGCUCCCUCUAAAAAGCUAAAUUUUACCAACAACAAAUUAGUG